rnacentral:rRNA from 1 species
AUACGUAGGUGACAAGCGUUAUCCGGAUUUACUGGGCGUAAAGGGCGUGUAGGCGGUCUUGCAAGUCAGAAGUGAAAUUCCUGAGCUCAACUCGGGCGCUGCUUCUGAAACUGCAGGACUUGAGUGCUGGAGGGGAUAGCGGAAUUCCUAGUGGAGCGGUAAAAUGCGCAGAUAUUAGGAAGAACACCGGUGGCGAAGGCGGCUAUCUGGACAUUAACUGACGCUGAGGCGCGAAAGCGGUGGGAGCAAACAGGAUUAGAUACCCUGGUAGUCCCCGCCGUAAACGAUGAAUACUAGGUGUAGGGGGUAUCGACUCCCUCUGUGCCGCAGUUAACACAAUAAGUAUUCCGCCUGGGGAGUACGGCCGCAAGGUUGAAACUCAAAUGAAUUGACGGGU